UACGAAGGGGGCUAGCGUUGCUCGGAAUCACUGGGCGUAAAGCGCACGUUAGGCGGCUUUUUAAGUCAGGGGUGAAUCCUGGAGCUCAACUCCAGAACUGCCUUUGAUACUGAGAAGCUUGAGUCCGGGAGAGGUGAGUGGAACUGCGAGUGUAGAGGUGAAAUUCGUAGAUAUUCGCAAGAACACCAGUGGCGAAGGCGGCUCACUGGCCGGUACUGACGCUGAGGUGCGAAAGCGAUGGGGAGCAAACAGGG
rnacentral:rRNA from 1 species